rnacentral:rRNA from 1 species
CGGGUGAGUAACACGUGAAUAACCUGUCCUCACGUUCCGGAUAAUUGGCCGAAAGGCCUUGUAAUACGGGCGAGGAUUCCGAUGGGGCAUCUCAUUGGACGGGAAGGCGCAAGCCGCGCGAGGAGGGGUUCGCGGAUUAUCAGCUAGUUGGUGGGGUAACGGCCCACCAAGGCGACGACGAUUAGCUGGUCUGAGAGGAUGGUCAGCCACACUGGGACUGAGACACGGCCCAG